rnacentral:rRNA from 1 species
GUGUCAGCAGCCGCGGUAAUACGGAGGGUGCAAACGUUGCUCGGAAUCAUUGGGCGUAAAGCGCACGUAGGCGGACCGCUAAGUCGGAUGUGAAAGCCCUCGGCUUAACCGAGGAAGUGCAUUCGAAACUGACGGUCUUGAGUAUGGAAGAGGGUCGCGGAAUUCCCGGUGUAGAGGUGAAAUUCGUAGAUAUCGGGAGGAACACCAGUGGCGAAGGCGGCGACCUGGGCCAAUACUGACGCUGAGGUGCGAAAGCGUGGGGAGCAAACAGGAUUAGAAACCCCCGUAGUCC